rnacentral:lncRNA from 1 species
GUCUCACUGACUUCAGGAGUGAAGCUGCAGGCCUUCACGGCCCUGGCAACCACUACUCUAUUUUAUGUCUCCAGGAUUUUGACUAUUCUAUGUACCUCAUAUCCAGCAUCCUUUGAAGCAUGAGUUCCCACAAGCAGAAGCAGCCCUUUACCUCACCCCCUCAGCUUCAACAGCAGCAGGUGAAACAGCACAGCCAGCCUCUCCCUUAGGAACCAUUUGUUCCCAUAACCAAGGAGCCAUGCUACCCAAAACUUGGAACCUGGAACCUGGAAACACCAAGAUUCCAGAGUUAGGCUGCACCAAGAUCCCUGAGCCAGGCUGCACCAAGGUCCUUGAGUCAAUCUCCACCAAGGUACCAGAGCCACAUCCUUCAACAGUCACUUCCGGCCCAGCUCAGCAGAAGUCCAAGUAGAAGUAAUGUGGUGCACAGACAAGCCCUUGAGAAGCUGACCACCAGAUGCUGGACACACUCUUCCUAUCUGCUUCUGUAUCUUAAUUGUCUGUAGACCUUGUAACCAAUACAUUGUCACCCCAAGUCAUAGUCUUUCUCUUAUUUGUAUUCUAAAAAUAUGCACUAUGAAGCUCCUUUUGCUUGCACACACUCUGAAGAAUUCUGUAAACCCCUGAGUUAAGCAGAAAGUCUUCAUGGUUUUUCUGGUCUUCAGCUGCUCAGGGUUCAUCUGAACAUUCGAAUGAAAAAAAAUGCAUAUAUCCUGCUCUGCCCUCAUUAAAUCACUUUUA